rnacentral:snRNA from 16 species
CGCCUUGCGCUCGGGCAAUAUCUAUUUAAUGACAGAAAUGGAAAGUAGAUGAUUGCUAGUUUAAAACUAAAUCCAGCCCAGGUACCACGUGUCUUGCGUCGGACCAAUUUUUGUACUCGUUUUAAUC